GUGCCAGCAGCCGCGGUAAUACGUAGGGCGCAAGCGUUGUCCGGAAUUAUUGGGCGUAAAGAGCUCGUAGGCGGUUUGUCGCGUCUGCUGUGAAAGCCCGGGGCUUAACCCCGGGUGUGCAGUGGGUACGGGCAGACUAGAGUGCAGUAGGGGAGACUGGAAUUCCUGGUGUAGCGGUGGAAUGCGCAGAUAUCAGGAGGAACACCGAUGGCGAAGGCAGGUCUCUGGGCUGUUACUGACGCUGAGGAGCGAAAGCAUGGGGAGCGAACAGGAUUAGAUACCCUGGUAGUCC
rnacentral:rRNA from 1 species